UUAAACUGAAGAGUUUGAUCCUGGCUCAGAUUGAACGCUGGCGGUAUGCUUAACACAUGCAAGUCGAACGGUAACAGCAGAGCUUGCUCUGGCUGACGAGUGGCGGA
rnacentral:rRNA from 1 species